GUUGAGAGGGAGAGUAACACCAUCCACAAACACCGAUUAUAUUAGUUUGCAGGUGCAGGCUUCCAAGGGCCCUGGCAACAAAAGAAGAGCACCCCCUUCCCCUGGAGUGGACACAAGAAUCCACUGGCAAAAUGAAAAUGAAGGUUGGGUUGGAGGUAGUAACAAACAACAAUCCACCGCAGACAAUAAGAACCCUAAGAACCUCUUAGGAGAAUCAUUUGCUGAUUUGCUCAGCGCUUCCUCAGGUUCCCAUUACGAGUGAGUCAGUUACUUACUCAUUCAGAUUUUAACUAGAACAUGCAUGCAAGAAUUUCUCAACUUAUUCAUAAAUGACUAAUUCAUGAAUGAAAACAACAAAACAAACAGAUUCUUAGGAGUAUCGGCAGAUGCGGAUUUAGAAGAAAUCAAAACAGCUUACCGGAGAUUAUCAAAGGAGUACCAUCCAGACACAACUUCUCUGCCUCUCAAAACUGCUUCAGAAAAAUUCAUGAAACUCAGGGAGAUCUACGAUGUUCUUAGCG
rnacentral:lncRNA from 1 species